GCUCCCUGUUUCUGUUAAGAUUAAAAUCACCAACUGUGGCAGGUGAAAAAUAUCAGAGAUGGUGGUCCAGGAGUGAAAUCCAUCAAGGGUUUAUUGCUAGCUAGUCCAGAAUGAAUGUCCCAAGGAUCAAGGAGAGACCUGCUGGGAUUCAGCCCACUGUUGCAAUAGCCUGGCUGCCUCCAAUGGACAUCAAGUGUCAUCAGGAUUUCUACAGUGCCUAAGUAGGCAGCACAUCACAUCAAUUUAUUUCAGAAGGCAGAUAUCCUGGAUCAGCUAAGGGGAUAGUUUUCUUCCUUGUAACAAAGUAACUACAUUCUUCAGAUAAAUUGUAUCCUUAGGAAUAAUGAGGAAUAUUCUUAGGAACAAUUCACUCCCAUUUAGACUGAAGAUUAGUUGUAAUCAGAUCUGAUAACAUCUUUCAGACUGAGGAGUUUUUUCUGCAGAUUCAAAAUAAAUGACUUGAACAGAAA
rnacentral:lncRNA from 1 species